rnacentral:rRNA from 1 species
GUCUCAAAGACUAAGCCAUGCAUGUGCAAGUAUAAACGCUUGAACCGUGAGACUGCGAAUGGCUCAUUAAAUCAGUUAUAGUUUAUUUGAUGGUGUUCCCACUACGUGGAUAACCGUGGUAACGUAGAGCUAAUACAUGCCGAAGGCCUCGACUCCGUCUCGGCGGGGAAGAGGCGUAUUUAUUAGAUCCAAAACCAACCUGGGCGGCUUGGCUUCCCAGCUUCCUGCUUGGUGAUUCAUGGUAACUGCUCGAAUCGCUUGGCCUCCGCGCCGGCGAUGGUUCAUUCAAGUUUCUGCCCUAUCAACUUUCGAUGGUAGGGUAUUGGCCUACCAUGGUUGCAACGGGUGACGGAGAAUUAGGGUUCGAUUCCGGAGAGGGAGCCUGAGAAACGGCUACCACAUCUAAGGAGGGCAGCAGGCGCGCAAAUUACCCAAUCCCGACUCGGGGAGGUAGUGACAAUAAAUAACAAUGCCGGUCCCUAAAGUGGUCCGGCAAUUGGAAUGAGUCCAAUCCAAACCCCUUAACGAGGAACAAUUGGAGGGCAAGUCUGGUGCCAGCAGCCGCGGUAAUUCCAGCUCCAAUAGCGUAUAUUAAAGUUGUUGCAGUUAAAAAGCUCGUAGUUGGAUUUCGGGGUCCGCGCCCGUGCCCUGGCGUCUGGUGUCGCUCUCGUCCAGUUCGCUGGUCCUGGCGUCGCCGUCGUCGGUGUGCGGCGUGCUCGGCCGGCGCGGUCCGCCGAGAGGCGAGCACUGCCCGGCGUCUCCCUGUGCUCUCGGAGGCUCCGUCUGCUCUUGAUUGCAGCGGUCGGGGAGUUCGGGACGUUUACUUUGAACAAAUUAGAGUGUUCCAAGCAGGCCGGUGGCUUUGAAUACGUUAGCAUGGAAUAAUGGAAUAGGGCUGCUUUGUUUGUCCUAUUUUGUUGGUUUUCGGGACGGCAGUCAUGGUCGAUAGGGACAGUUGGGGGCAUUCGUAUUCAGUUGUCAGAGGUGAAAUUCUCGGAUUUACGGAAGACGGUCGGGUGCGAAAGCAUUUGCCAAGGAUGUUUUCAUUAAUCAAGAACGAAAGUUGGGGGUUCGAAGACGAUCAGAUACCGUCGUAGUCCCAACCAUAAACGAUGCCGGCUAGGGAUCGGCGGACGUCGGGUGCGACUCCGUCGGCACCUUUGGAGAAAUCAAAGCCUUUGGGUUCCGGGGGGAGUAUGGUCGCAAGGCUGAAACUUAAAGGAAUUGACGGAAGGGCACCACCAGGAGUGGAGCCUGCGGCUUAAUUUGACUCAACACGGGGAACCUCACCAGGUCCGGACAUGGGAAGGAUUGACAGAUCGAGAGCUCUUUCUUGAUUCUAUGGGUGGUGGUGCAUGGCCGUUCUUAGUUGGUGGAGUGAUUUGUCUGGUUGAUUCCGUUAACGAACGAGACCUUAACCUGCUAACUAGUCGUGCCGUUUCCGAACGGCGGGCGUUCAGCUGGUCUCGGGGCAGCCCUUGCGGGUGCUUCGGGACGGCCGA